AAGCUCGAGGGGCUGCCGCAGGAGCUGGGCGCGCGCGGGUGGGGGUGCACAAUAACUCUUGCCGCGGGCUUCUCGAGAAACGCGGAAACACCUCCCGAGGCUCUCCACUCCCCCACAUAUAUAUAUGUGCACGCUAUUGCUCCUCUCUGACCAGCAGCCCACAACCGUCGCUGGUCCGACCCCAAGUUCCCUGGCAGUCAGGCUUCCCGCCCGAUGCGCUCGUCCGUUUAUCCCCCUGCGUCAGGCCGGGACGCGCUGGGGUCUGUAAGAGGCUCAAACGCAUCUCCAGCCGCUGGGCGGGAUUUGGGCGCCUCCGGCCCGGGGUUCAGAGGCCGGUAACUUUGCUAAUCUCCCCUAGCGGCAGGGGACGUCGCGCAGCCGCUGAGCCCUGUCCGCGGAGACUAAACAAGGAGAGGAACAGGCUGUAAACACACAUCCUGACACGCAGGGAUGUUGCUCUUGGAGAAUGUGAAGACAGUUUGCUUCUUGACAAGCGAGCGAGCGGGCGCCCAGAUUUUUGCAGCGUUUCCGAGUCUCCCCCGAGGGAAAAGCAGGCAGAGAAAACGCCGGAUUUGGGAGCCACCGGGGAAGGAUUCCGCGCAGGGGAACCGCCUCCUUUGGCCCUGGACCCGCCCGCCUGGGGCCCCCUUUUCGGCACUGCCAGUGGAUAACCUGAAACUCUGAGGAUGGUGCUGGGGACUGGGGUCCGGGAAGCCCCUGGAAUAAUAAUUGCGAAGAAGAAAGAGGCAAAAACAACGUUUCUUCCCCACCUUGAAGCAGGAAGGACUGUGAUCUUAAAGCUGCUGGCUACAGUCCCAGGGCCAGUUGCCCUCCUCUGUUCCCUGAGUAGACUGUAACAUCUUCUGUC